rnacentral:rRNA from 1 species
GACGAACGCUGGCGGCGUGCUUAACACAUGCAAGUCGAACGGAAAGGCCCUGCUUUUGUGGGGUGCUCGAGUGGCGAACGGGUGAGUAACACGUGAGUAACCUUCCCUUGACUUUGGGAUAACUUCAGGAAACUGGGGCUAAUACCGGAUAGGAGCUCCUGCUGCAUGGUGGGGGUUGGAAAGUUUCGGCGGUUGGGGAUGGACUCGCGGCUUAUCAGCUUGUUGGUGGGGUAGUGGCUUACCAAGGCUUUGACGGGUAGCCGGCCUGAGAGGGUGACCGGCCACAUUGGGACUGAGAUACGGCCCAGACGCCUACGGGAGGCAACAGUGGGGAAUAUUGCACAAUGGGCGGAAGCCUGAUGCAGCAACGCCGCGUGCGGGAUGACGGCCUUCGGGUUGUAAACCGCUUUCGCCUGUGACGAAGCGUGAGUGACGGUAAUGGGUAAAGAAGCACCGGCUAACUACGU